AUUGAACGCUGGCGGCAUGCCUUACACAUGCAAGUCCAACGGCAGCACAGAGAAGCUUGCUUCUUGGGUGGCGAGUGGCGAACGGGUGAGUAACAUAUCGGAACGUACCGAGUAGUGGGGGAUAACUGGUCGAAAGAUCAGCUAAUACCGCAUACGUCUUGAGAGGGAAAGCAGGGGACCUUCGGGCCUUGCGCUAUUCGAGCGGCCGAUAUCUGAUUAGCUAGUUGGUGGGGUAAAGGCCUACCAAGGCGACGAUCAGUAGCGGGUCUGAGAGGAUGAUCCGCCACACUGGGACUGAGACACGGCCCAGACUCCUACGGGAGGCAGCAGUGGGGAAUUUUGGACAAUGGGCGCAAGCCUGAUCCAGCCAUGCCGCGUGUCUGAAGAAGGCCUUCGGGUUGUAAAGGACUUUUGUCAGGGAAGAAAAGGCUGUUGCUAAUAUCAGCGGCUGAUGACGGUACCUGAAGAAUAAGCACCGGCUAACUACGUGCCAGCAGCCGCGGUAAUACGUAGGGUGCGAGCGUUAAUCGGAAUUACUGGGCGUAAAGCGAGCGCAGACGGUUACUUAAGCAGGAUGUGAAAUCCCCGGGCUCAACCUGGGAACUGCGUUCUGAACUGGGUGACUAGAGUGUGUCAGAGGGAGGUAGAAUUCCACGUGUAGCAGUGAAAUGCGUAGAGAUGUGGAGGAAUACCGAUGGCGAAGGCAGCCUCCUGGGAUAA
rnacentral:rRNA from 1 species